rnacentral:rRNA from 1 species
AUGCAGAUCGAAUCCAACACGAAGUAUUGCAGAGUCGAGGGAGCAGCAUCCGAGGAGGACCGGCUGAGUGACCUCCCCGACGACGUCCUCCACUCGAUCGUCGGCAGGGUCCCCCUCAAACAAGCCGUACGCACCAGCGCCCUCUCCACGAGGUGGGCGUGCCUGUGGCUCCACGCGCUCGCCGCCUCCGCCGUCCUCGACUUCACCGACAGCGAAUUCGUCCGCGGCCAGUUCCUGGGGCGGAUCGUGGCCACGGUGAACCGCUGCCUGGAGGUCCACGGCGCGGCUCCCAUCGACGUGUUCCGCGUGGCGCUGUCCCCGUUCGAUGCGUAUGGGCGGGACGUCGUCCGGUGGGCCGCGACCGCCUUGGUUAGAGGCGCCAGGGAAGUGGGGGUGGACCUGACGCAGCAUGCCGACGUCCGCGGGGCUCUGGAGCUUCCCGUGGACCUCUUCCAGGCCGAGAGCUCCCUUGCGGUGCUCAGCCUUGGCCGGUGCAGCCUCCGCGACGUCCCGCCCGGCACGCCGGGGCUCGCCGGUCUCACAUCGCUCUCCCUCAACCAAGUCGACGUCACCGACGAUGCUGUCCGGGACGUGGUCUCCAGGUGCCGGCUGCUCGAGUUUCUGAGCCUGGAGAGCUGCCACCUUCUCGUGUCGGUGAGGGUCGCCGGCGACAGGCUGCGGGGCCUGGAGAUCGUGCGCUGCCUGGCCAUGCGCCACCUGCAGGUGGCCGCGCCCGUGCUGGAGUCUGUUGCCUACCACGGCGACGUCCUCCUCAUCUGGAGAGAGGACGAGCCGUCAGGCGUGGAGUUCGUUGGCCCAGGCGGCAGGACCGAUGCCAGGCCGGAGCUAAAGGACGCGUACCUGACCCACAUCGGCUACGGCGAAUACGACGAAGUAAUUCACGAGUUCGCCUACUCAGGCUUCUUGGAUCAGGUCGCGCAUGCCAAGAUUUUGACACUUUGUUCCGUGGGCAUGCGGCACCGGGAAGAAGAGCGACUGUUCGCUGAGGGCGACGUGGAUGCCCCGAACCUAGAAGAGCUGCAGCUGCUAAUGGACUCCAUCUCCAUGGGCGACGACGAUGUUACUCGCUUCUCCGGAUUCUUAGAGCUCGUCGUGGCGCCACUCCUCGAGCGCCUCUUUAUCCGGUGCGAGAUCGCUCUCGACCACCUGACGUUCCUCAAGGUGGUGAACUUCCGAGGGACGAGGCGCGAGCUGCGGGUGCUAAGGUUCGUCCUGCGCAGGGCUCCUGUCCUCGAGCAGCUGGUGCUCGUCACACCGGAAGACGUGGGAACUCCGGGGGACCAUGACCAGCAGGAGAGCGUCCGCCUGCUCCUUAAGGUCGUCCAAGAGCACGUGUCAAAGAUCAGCAAGGCGUGGCUCUGGCAGGAGCCCCGCGUCACCUUGUGCCGGCCGAGGGAGGACGACGGCCGGAGCCCUGCACACACCAAGUACUACCACCAUGAUCAGGCAUAG